GGACUACUGGGGUAUCUAAUCCUGUUUGCUCCCCAUGCUUUCGAGUCUCAGCGUCAGUUGUCAGCCAGAUAGUCGCCUUCGCCACUGGUGUUCCUCCCGAUCUCUACGAAUUUCACCUCUACACCGGGAAUUCCACUAUCCUCUCCGACACUCAAGUCUUUCAGUUUCCUCUGCACGUUACAGGCUGAGCCCGUAGAUUUCACAGAAGACUUAAAAAACCGCCUACACUCCCUUUACGCCCAAUAAUUCCGAACAACGCUUGCACCCUCUGUAUUACCGCGGCUGCUGGCAC
rnacentral:rRNA from 1 species